UACGGAGGGAGCUAGCGUUAUUCGGAAUUACUGGGCGUAAAGCGCACGUAGGCGGCUUUGUAAGUUAGAGGUGAAAGCCUGGAGCUCAACUCCAGAAUUGCCUUUAAGACUGCAUCGCUUGAAUCCAGGAGAGGUGAGUGGAAUUCCGAGUGUAGAGGUGAAAUUCGUAGAUAUUCGCAAGAACACCAGUGGCGAAGGCGGCUCACUGGCCCGGUACUGACGCUGAGGUGCGAAAGCGUGGGGAGCAAACAGG
rnacentral:rRNA from 1 species